GAAAAAACGAUGAAAAGAAGAGUAAACUUGAAAUGAAGCGCAAAGAGAGCCUGGCUAGGUGGGAACAGGUGGUGGAUAGUAGAGUUGAACAUGGUCUUGGAGUUGAAUGGCUAAACUGGAGAGAACUCCUUUAGGUCAUUCCGGAUGCAGCCGUUAUAUUGCCACAGUUUGACAAGCUUUUUUCAGCUUAAGUACUGGUAGAGACAGAUGUAGUGAUGCACCUGUAAAAAAAGGUGGUAACGCGAAAAUUUCGCCCUUUUA
rnacentral:ncRNA from 1 species